rnacentral:rRNA from 1 species
GGAAAAGUAGCUUGCUACUUAACCUAGCGGCGGACGGGUGAGUAAUGCUUAGGAAUCUGCCUAUUAGUGGGGGACAACAUCUCGAAAGGGAUGCUAAUACCGCAUACGUCCUACCGGGAGAAAGCAGGGGACCUUCGGGCCUUGCGCUAAUAGAUGAGCCUAAGUCGGAUUAGCUAGUUGGUAGGGUAAAGGCCUACCAAGGCGACGAUCUGUAGCGGGUCUGAGAGGAUGAUCCGCCACACUGGGACUGAGACACGGCCCAGACUCCUACGGGAGGCAGCAGUGGGGAAUAUUGGACAAUGGGGGGAACCCUGAUCCAGCCAUGCCGCGUGUGUGAAGAAGGCCUUUUGGUUGUAAAGCACUUUAAGCGAGGAGGAGGCUACCGAGAUUAAUACUCUUGGAUAGUGGACGUUACUCGCAGAAUAAGCACCGGCUAACUCUGUGCCAGCAGCCGCGGUAAUACAGAGGGUGCAAGCGUUAAUCGGGUUUACUGGGCGUAAAGCGCGCGUAGGUGGCCAAUUAAGUCAAAUGUGAAAUCCCCGAGCUUAACUUGGGAAUUGCAUUCGAUACUGGUUGGCUAGAGUAUGGGAGAGGAUGGUAGAAUUCCAGGUGUAGCGGUGAAAUGCGUAGAGAUCUGGAGGAAUACCGAUGGCGAAGGCAGCCAUCUGGCCUA